rnacentral:piRNA from 1 species
CGCGUGGAUGGAGGAAGUCCAGC